GUAGCCAUGACUGUGAGGCUUAGUUCUUGGCACAGGAAUGACAACAUAGUGCCCAGGGCUUGAUGGCGGCAGUAGCCUUUUCUCCGUCACACGAGGUCUGCGGCACAGCCUCGGCCACCGGUCCCGGCGGCUCAGCCUCGAGUCGGCUUCCCUGGCACGAGCGGCGAUCCUGGGAACAACCUGACGCAGCCUUCGCCUCAUUUUCUGCCUGCUCAGUCAGAGUCAGCCUCUGCUGCCCGGAUCUAAAAACCUCAAGAGGGUGCGGUGCUCAGCAGACUUGAUGACCUCAGCCCAUAACAAGAUAAAUGACAGAAAUUAGGGCAUGAUUGUCAUACCAGCUGAAAUAAAAAGGGAAUUUUACAGCAUGCACAGUGAUUACACCUCUCCUUCCGAAGAUGAAGGCCAGUGGUGGGCCAUUCUAGGAGGAGAUGGGAGACAGAAGACAGUGUCCUCAUUUCAUGAGAAACCAGGGAGGUACUUCACAUCAGUACAUAUGCUGGUAAACCCUCCAUCAUUUAAACAAAAAUCUGAAGAGCCUGACAUGUCUAAAUUAUAAUAUUCUGAUAGGAUUUCAGUUUUAUUAUAUUUCAUUAUGAAUAAAAUCACUUUGCUUA